GACCGCGUAGCUCAGUUGGAAGAGCAUUGGGCUAGUAUCCAAAGGUCGUAGGUUCGAAUCCCACCGUGGCCG